GACGAACGCUGGCGGCGUGCUUAACACAUGCAAGUCGAACGGAAAGGCCCUGAUUUUGUGGGGUUCUCGAUUGGCGAACGGGGGAGUGACACGCGAGUAACCUGCCCUUAUCUUUGUGAUAACAUCAGGAAACUGCGGCUAAUACCGGAUAGGAGCUCCUGCUGCAUGGUGGGGGUUGGUGAGUGUCGGCGGUUGGGGCUGGACUAGCGGCUUAUGAGCUUGUUGGUGUGGUAGUGACGUACAAAGGCUAUGACGGGUAGCCGGCCUGAGAGCUGGACCGGCGACAUGGGGACUGAGAUAGGGCCCAGUCUGCUACGGGAGGCAGCAGUGGGGAACAUUGCACAACGGGCGGAAGCCUGAUGCAGCAACGCUGCGUGCGGGAUGCCCUGCUACGGGGUGUAAACAGCUUUCGCCGGUGACGAAGAGUGAGUGACGGUAAUGGGUAAAGAAGCACCGGCUAACUACGUG
rnacentral:rRNA from 1 species